GGGCAGCGAAGCCGCGAGGUGGAGCAAAUCCCAGAAAACUGAUCUCAGUUCGGAUUGCAGGCUGCAACCCGCCUGCAUGAAGUCGGAAUCGCUAGUAAUCGCGGGUCAGCAUACCGCGGUGAAUACGUUCCCGGGCCUUGUACACACCGCCCGUCACACCACGAAAGUUGGUAACACCCGAAGCCGGUGGCCUAACCCUUAGGGGAGGGAGCUGUCGAAGGUGGGACUGAUGAUUGGGGUGAAGUCGUAACAAGGUACC
rnacentral:rRNA from 1 species